rnacentral:rRNA from 1 species
UGCUCGCUUUGGAGACUGGUAACUAGAGUUGAUAGAAGAAAGAGGAAAACCAUGUGAAGCGGUGAAAUGCGUAGAUAUAUGGAAGAACACCAAAGGCGAAGGCAGCUUACUGGGUUUAUAUGACGCUGAGGAACGAAAGCGUGGGGAGCAAACAGG